AUCACCACUUCCUCUUAGAAAGUACUCGGGUGCCACGCCCCACUCCCUUUUUCUUCCCUUCCCCUCCUGCUCCCUCACCUCUCCUGGCCUAGUAGCCUUGGCCCACAAGAAUGGGAAUUUAACCUGUGCCAACCUCUUUGGCAUGCCCCCUCCCCUCCCCUCCCCAAACGCAGGCUGCUUUGGGCCUGGGGCGCUGAAGGAAAGGGAUGAAAACGCAAGUGCUAGGUCGUUAAGAGCCAAACUUUAAAACAACAGCAACAAAACUAUGGUGAAAAAAAAGGCCACUUAAAACUGGAUCCCUAUGGAGGAUUUCCCCAGCACCCCAGGAGCGCAGGCCGGGAAGAAUCUCCCACAGGUUUAAAUGGGGCAGACGGUUCCGGCAGUCAAGAGAUUAGGUGCAGAUCCCGCUAAACCAGGAGUCAAAGCUUUGGAUCUCUCGGAAGGAAAGAGACGCCUUUUCAGGUGCUGAGGUUGCUGGGGAAAGGCAAAGAGGCCUUGAGAAUGGGAGGACUCAACAUCCCUCCCCCCAACCAACUAAAUCCCCAAAAUGUAAAUGUAAAUGAAGAGACACAGAGAGAUAGACAUUAAGACCUGGAGGAAAAGAGAGACAGAGUUGAGGAGACGGAGGGAGAAGAGAUGAGAAGAGGAAGAAAAGAGAAGGGAAAGGAAAGAAAAAAAGGCAAGAAGAGAGGAGGAGAGGAUAGGCGAUAGGGAAGGAGAAGACGAGAGGCAUGCAGUUCCAGAGAAAAAUGGAUUGGAGGAAGAGAAAUCAAUGACUGGAGAACUCUUUCAGAGAUCGUUCCAGGGCCUUGAGUAUAAUGUGGUUGCUGUUGCCUACUCUCUCUCUCUCUCUCUCUCUCUCUCUCUCUCUCUCUCUCUCUCUCUCUCUUUGUCUCUCUAAAAUUAGGAGGAAGGUUUAUUUAGGGAAUGGGCUACCUGCCUCACGAUGACUUUCCCCACUUCGCAGUAUAAGGAAUUAGUAAGGAAGUCUGAAAACCAAAACCAAAACCAAAACCAGGGUCAGGAAGCACUCAGCAGUACCGAGCACCCAUCUAUCCAACCCCAAAAUCUACUGCAUAGCUGCAGGAAAGAGGAUAGGGUUUGAAGGGCGCAGUUCUCAAAGUAUC
rnacentral:lncRNA from 1 species